GGAGAGAUGGCUGAGUGGUCGAAGGCGCCCGCCUCGAAAGCGGGUAGGGGUUUACGCCCCUCGCGAGUUCGAAUCUCGCUCUCUCCGCCA
rnacentral:tRNA from 1 species